rnacentral:lncRNA from 1 species
GCGACAUUAUCAAAUGGAACAGUAUUCUGCGCCGCUCUGUGAUGUUGUCAACAUGGUACAUCGUCCAGAAACAUACAAUAGCUAUUUUCCAUUGAAUUUAUGUUUGGAUUUUUUAAAUAGUUUUCAUUGGGAAGGCACUUUUGCAUGUGAAAACACCGAAUCCUGCUCAUUACUACACGUGCUUAAUUACGUCACGUUUGUUUAUGAGCCGAUUUCUCCAUCAGACAGAGUGUGGCACCAAGUUCGCGCCCUGCAAGCAACCUGGUUUCGAACUCAAUAGAGUCAACUUUCAGCCGGUGCAAAACACGCUUACAAUGGCGCCCGGGCAAGAUUCAUCGAAUCCCCUCAAUGUUUAGAGGUUGGCUCCACCGGCCUUCGCUCUGAUUGGAGAAGCUGUCUCUCCCAGACAGAGGGGGACCUUGAGUUACCGCAGACUGCCGAGUAAGCACCGAGCAGUCUGACUGUACACUACUGCAGAUGUAAUGGGGGGCCUGGCCCCGAGCCAACAGCUAGCUAGUUAGUUAAAGACGGUGGCAGUUGGGUCAACGCAGCCGUGUAUGGGGUUCUGUCCCCGCAAGGGUGCUUGCCGUUUUUACUAACUACACGUAUGCAACAUUGUGCCAGUAAAAUUGAAACUUCAUCAGCGCCAGCUAGCCGCCCCACCGCUAGCUGGCUAGCGAACUAAUGGAAAUGACUUUAGUAUAACGGGGCUUCAAUCUUCCCACACUUGCCCUGAUGCCAGACUGACUAUGCAGUAGAAAUGCGGCUCUUGCAGAUAAUCAAGGUAAAAUUUGAUGUUGGCCUGUUACAAUUAACAUAUCUCAACCUAACCAUAGAUAGGAUUAUUAAAAUCAACAUAUUGUCAAAUGUAGCUCUAGGCUAUUGCUUUGACGUGUUAUUAUAUUGUUUUAUCAUAAUUUGCUCAAUAUGUAUUGUCUGUGUAUUCAAGACUAUAGGGGAACAGUAUUGCUAUUGGCAAUAUAAUCUGCAUUUUAAACAAUCCAUGGCAAGUAUUAUGAUCCAUGGUAAGUAUCAUAUCCUAAACUAACCAAUGGUGGAAGGAACCUAUAACCAAAUCAGAACAUCACACUAAACCAGCACCAAUCAGAUGCUGUAAUGAUACAAGCAUGCCUUCCCUUGUCCAAUCAGAGUGAUAUACCGGUAUUUAUGACCCAAUCACAGCUUUAGCUGGUACAGUAUCAUCACUACUGCUCAGCAUUGAGCAGGCCUCUGACCAGUUAUAUAAGUCCCUGGCUCCGACGCAGCAGCACUGUCUAUGCUAGCUCAAGGCUGCCUGUGGGUUCAGUGAGUUCGAGACAGCCUCAAUGCAGUGGACUGCCGCUGGGGGAAAAAUGUGACCUCGUUUGACUGGUGUUGCCUGGAAGCGCUCCAACUGCAGUCUGGGAAGUGGAAAGGACAGUCUAUGUUUUAAACAGGUGGCCUUCCCUACUGCCUCUACUUUACUGUACUGUAAAUAUAACUGCCUCUACUGUACUGUAAAUAUAACAUGUACAUUUAAACUACUAAGUCAUGUUAAACUACUAAGUCAUGUUAAACUACUAAGUCAUGUUAAACUACUAAGUUGCGGUAAAGAAGGAAGGAGUUAGGAGGGCAGAUUCUCUCCAGGAGUAUUGAGUUCAAGUUAUGUGAAAAUUCUAGGAAGGGCUAGUUCGGUUGUUUUUACGUUACAUUUUUCUCCGACCUAGAAAAUGAUUUUCCAAUGUUUGUGUGACAUCCUGCAUUCUAGUUCAAUAUUGCAAGAGCUGAGUCGAACUGUUUCAUCAUAAAGAUCCCCUUGAGUCUGUUUUGACCAUUUGGAUUCAGAACAUGGAUUGCCCAGGAGUAGCCCUAACAGUUAUAGUCUACUUUAUAAUAUGAUGCUAGCUUAAGCAACAGUAAAUGUGUUUUCUCAGAUCCCUUAUUGUCUUUUCUGUUUUUUGUAUGGGCUUGUCUCGUUGUGAGUUUUAGGGUAAUGAAUUGCAACUAGGGAUCACUGACUCACUGUUCAUGAAUCAAACAGUUAUAUUUCAUGCUUGUCUCUCUUGGUUUUAGGUACUAGUUUAACCCUCAGACUGAAAUUAACAGGCUAUGAUGGCUCCCCUGAGAAAAGACUGCAGGUCACUCCCGGUUGGACCAAAGGGGAGCAUUAACAAAACAAGUCACCAGUCCUUCCCUUCGCUCCUUCCUGGGAGAAACAAAACACUGUCAUCAUAAAGAACAAAUGGGAGAAAAAAAAUCUAUUUUAAUUUCUGAUUUUUGUAAUCAUAUCUAACAUUUUUGGGGGGGGGAAGGGAAAGGGGAGUGUGGGGGGGUAUAGAUGACAUCAUGAUGACUCUGAAGUUUCAUACCUUCUCUGUCUAUUUUUGUGAUUUAUUAACACAUUAGAUAGAUGUACAGUAGCUUGUUAGGGACUCUAAGCCUUGAUGAUAUGUUUGUUUUCAGGAAGGAGAGGAAAAGCCUAAUGACACAAAGCAAUGUAAUAGCACAGUCUCCAACAGCAGAGACCUAACCUGAUCCCAGGUCUGUUUGUGCUGUCUUCCAUGGCUUUGGUGACUGCACAAACGGAUCUGGGACCAGGCUAGCAGAGACCCACGUCUACGUUUACGAAUUCUACAGGUGGCCCCUUGUGGGCUGAGUACAGUAACUGACAGGCAGCAGCAUGUCAUCCACUCUGCCACAGAACAAAACACAGUUCAAACAGCAGCAUUAUCCUCCUAUUUAUGUUUUAACACUCACUCAGUUCUACCUGCACUGUUCACACGCUCAACUGCAGUAUGUGAUCGCUCCUUAACACAGUAUUAAGCUAGGCCUAGACCUGUAUCAUUAUCUCUACAAAACACUCUUCAAUGUCUUGGAAGGGAGUGGUUGCACCUCGAAGCGUAACCAUUCAAACGUUGGGUUCACGAUUUUACGUUUUAACAGUCCUAAUUGCUCUGCUCUUUAAGGUGAUUCACACCCUUCAGCUCUCAAAUUCUUCUCUCAUUCUCAAAACUCUUAAUAUUUACACACUCUACAGUAUUUACUGAGGCUAAGAGUCCCCCUUUUUCCAUGUUAGCUAGUAAAUGCUUGGUAGUGUGUUUUUGUAUUUUAAACGUUUAUGGUUUUAAGUAGAUUUGCUUUUUUAAAGUUUUAGAAUGUUUGUUGCUAGUAUAAAACCAUGUGUAGACAGUUAUGUAUGCUGUGAUGUAGCCUAUAGAAGUAGCUAUAGUAGAAAUGCAUUGUUCCCUUGUGGUAAGUGAGUGAGAUGCUGCCACGGAACUGAGACACUGAUGAUUGGUGCUAUUUUGGACUUUAAUCUGCUCCUUGGAAAGGUAGCUGAGAUGGGUUUUCUUGUUUUACUUUCACAUUCUGAGUAAAGAAGGUGUUGGUUCUUUGUUGUCAUGGUUGUUGUAACUUGGUCUGGAUUGGCUUAGUUUUUCUCUGUUUUCUGUGCGGCUUUCUCAUUGGAUUUAAGAUUUGAGGAAAUAUAAACUUUUAUCAUGGUCAAUGUUUUACUAAAGGAAAAGAGGAUUCAUGUGAGAAGAUUUGAGGAUAUACCAUGUUGAUGGGAGCAAUCACAAAACUGCAAUUGUUAAAAACACUAGUUACCCUUUAAUACUGACACGUGCAUUCAAAGGUAUACAAUGUAUCUAGUAGUACCCAGCACUGGUCACUUUUAGAAAAUGUUAAGCUUUUUUUAGUUGGUGUGUUUUGAUUGACAGACAAUCUCGAAACCAGGAGUGCAGUUCUGCCCCUAGCAUGUUUGUGUGUAACGGAGAUCUCUUAAGAGAUUUUGCACACUUACGAGUGAGUUAUGAAUUUGUCACAUGGAAACAUAUAGAAGUCGCCACAGCAUAACGCAAUGUUAAUGUCUGAUAUCUGCUUCAAGUUGAUUAGAAUAAGUAAACAGUAAAACGUAAAAUGAAGGUUAUUUUUUGAAAAGUCAUGCUUUUCAAAAAUGGCACUUGAGAGAACUUGAUAGAGUUAAAUGCUAAAAGGAAUGAACACACUCCAUGUGUUUUAAGGCCCAGCCUGUUUGGGUUUGGGUUCAGGGUUUCAACUUUUCCUCAUCUUCUUCACCAGCUGGAUAUGACUUAAUCCUAUAGAGAGUCAUGUGACUUAAUGUUAGUUAACGUGAGACUGGAAUCACAUGAUGCAUAUAAUCUUGUUUCAAAAAAAUUUAAAUACAUUUUUCCAAAUGUAGCAUAAAGUUAGAAUAGAACAAUCUUUUUAAUUUAUGUAUUUUUUUAAUGAUUUUGUAAAUUAAUGUUGAUGAGAAGCUUACUUUGUUAUAAAACAGACGAACUAAAACCAAAAAGCUUUUUAUUGUUUGUAGCUAUAGAUUUAAAAUAUCAAAGUAAUGUCAGUAUUUGCAGUUUUGUCUUUGCUUCCCUGUUAAUUUAUUUUGUUAAAGAUUCUAAUAUUAAUAUGAUAAUAACCAACUUGAAAGCCCAUGUUAUUAUUCUUUUGUCUUCCAUUCUCCCUCGAUUCUGGGGACCUUUUUGUACCAGCAUGUUCUAGUGUUAUUGAUCGCUUGUUCUCUUCCUCAUUGAGUUGAUUUGUUACACAUUUUUCCUCUUGCAGUUCUUUCCUUUCAGACUAGUUAAUAUGAAAGCUGUUUUGUACAUAGCAAAGUGAAUAGCAUAUACAGGAUGUGCUGUAGUGUGUUGAGUCAGGUAUUCAGUAAUUACCACUGUAUAUGGUUGGAAAAAAAACACGAUAUGCCAGCUUUGCAAAAUUAUUACAACGAUGCACUUAACUUACAGUAUCCCAUGUACUUUUUUUUGGCAAUUUUAAAAGUUGUGCAAUAAAUAUGCAAGCUUGUAAAUUUGUGUUUUUAUUUGAAUCUGUUGAUGUUGCUGGAGUUUUUCCAGUGUUGUAGGAAACUUGUGCAAUUGUGCUUUGUUCGAGAAAUUGAUCCUGCCGCGUCAUGGAAUACGGAGUUGCAAAAAGUAGUCAUUUU